UGCAUCAAAACUUGCUGACAGCACUGUCACCAAAUCACACCCCUUAAAAGGCACUCAUCCGCAGUCAAGGUACAAAUUUAACUCGUACAGUAAAUCAAGACACUCCUGGACUUCACAACCAAAUUUAAGUGUAAUCACACAAGGGGGAUCUGACUACAUCCCAAAGCAGGUACAGUGUGUAAAGACAUUUACAGGGCAACAAGUUUGGACCUCACGUGGCAUCUUUCCCGUCCACAGGGGAUUUUUUUAAAGAUAUUUCUAUAGCAAAUGAGAAGUUCAGAAGGGGUGACCACCGUUAGGGGAUGUCAGAGGGCCACGCCCUUGACCAGCGAAGUCUCCAGCGUGACGGUGAACUCGUUGAGCGUGUGCAGGAUGCGAGAGAGAGAGUGCACAGCAGAGCGGUCGCGCAUCAAGGCGCCAUCCUCGUAGGUGCGAGACGUUAGGGGACACUCGGCCAACAGUGGAAGCCACUGCGAAAGGAGUCGGUCCCUAAGAAGAGAACAGGCCAGGUUUGUGAAAGUGCUUGACGAGAUUAUUAGCUGCCUCCCUCAUGUCUUCAUGGACUUCAACAGACACCACUCCUGCCAAGAGACAAAAACAAGAGUACAGUCAGAGAGCGAAAG